rnacentral:misc_RNA from 1 species
GAUGAAGAACGCAGUGAAAUGCGAUAAGUAAUGCGAAUUGCAGAAUCCGUGAGUCAUCGAAUCUUUGAACGCACAUUGCGCCCUCUGGUAUUCCGGAGGGCAUGCCUGUUCGAGCGUCAUUAUCACCCCUCAAGCCCGGCUUGUUGUUGGAUGCAGCGCUUAUCCCGCUCCUCCCAAAGAUAAUGACGGCGUCUGCGACGACUCCUGUACACUGAGCUUUCGGGCACGUACACGGCUAGAAGUCCAGACCCGGUCGCCGUCCCCCCCCGCGGGGGACACCCAUUACCACAAGGUUGACCUCGGAUCAGGUAGGAAUACUCGCUGAACUUAAGCAUAUCAAUAAGCGGAGGA